AACGCGAAGAACCUUACCUGGGCUUGACAUGCAUCGUGUCGCCGGUGAAAGCCGGCUAGUGUAGCAAUACACGCUUUGCACAGGUGCUGCAUGGCUGUCGUCAGCUCGUGUCGUGAGAUGUUGGGUUAAGUCCCGCAACGAGCGCAACCCUUACUCUUAGUUGCCACCCGCAAGGGGGAACUCUAAGAGGACUGCUCCGGGAUAACGGAGAGGAAGGUGGGGAUGACGUCAAGUCAGCACGGCCUUUAUGUCCAGGGCUACACACGUGUUACAAUGCACGGUACAAACCGUCGCGAACCCGCGAGGGGGAGCUAAUCGGAGAAAACCGUGCUCAGUUCGGAUUGCAGUCUGCAACUCGACUGCAUGAAGCCGGAAUCGCUAGUAAUGGCGUAUCAGAACGACGCCGUGAAUACGUUCCCGGGCCUUGUACACACCGCUACAGU
rnacentral:rRNA from 1 species